CCUACGGGAGGCAGCAGUGAGGAAUAUUGGUCAAUGGGCUCGAGCCUGAACCAGCCAAGUCGCGUGAGGGAAGACGGUCCUAUGGAUUGUAAACCUCUUUUGUCGGGGAGCAAAAGACGCCACGCGUGGCGUUCCGAGAGUACCCGAAGAAAAAGCAUCGGCUAACUCCGUGCCAGCAGCCGCGGUAAUACGGAGGAUGCGAGCGUUAUCCGGAUUUAUUGGGGUUAAAGGGUGCGCAGGCGGAAGGUCAAGUCAGCGGUAAAAUUGAGAGGCUCAACCUCUUCGAGCCGUUGAAACUGGUGUUCUUGAGUGAGCGAGAAGUAUGCGGAAUGCGUGGUGUAGCGGUGAAAUGCAUAGAUAUCACGCAGAACUCCGAUUGCGAAGGCAGCAUACCGGCGCUCAACUGACGCUCAUGCACGAAAGUGUGGGUAUCGAACAGGAUUAGAUACCCCAGUAGUC
rnacentral:rRNA from 1 species